GGCUGACGGUGUUUGCGUGUAGUAUGAAGUGCUUUCAAGGACAUGCGAUUCUGAAGUGAGGUAAGAAGUUGGCCAGAAACGUUCAAGCGAGAAGCAGCAAACAUUUGAAUAUGUAAAAGUUCAUCCGUUGCCUGUGACAGGAGACCGGUGGGAAGACAUUUUGCCCGCUGUCCUGCAUGUGUUUGCUGCCUCCAUCUUCAGGAGUCAACAGACCUUCAUCCAGACUCCACGGCCAACCCAGAAGAUUUCUGUCUUCGUAAUCGUAAUCUCAGAUGUGUUUUAAUUUUGACAAAUAAAAUUAAUUAAGCUAAUUAAGGAGACUUGUAUGAGCAGGGCACGUAGCAUGCAUGGAAAGGCAUUACUUAUAUCUCAGGAAAUUAGAGGAAGAGACAGCGAAUAAGAUCUAUCUGUAGGAAAGAGGCUCUUAAAUUUUGGGAUGUGUUAUUAACAACACUCAUUUCACGUUCCUAGCUUCGGUCCACGUUAAAGUUCUAAGGAGUUGCUUAUUGCGUUAGAUGCUUUGUCCGGUGGCCUGUCCCCCCCUGUCGCCGUGGAAUUGCACGAAGUGACCAUUCCCGUUUCUAGCAUUUGGCUUGGCCACUAAACGUGAGGUGCUCAUUUUCGUCUAUUUGUGAUUUCAGAAAGACGAGGGAAUUUAUUUUCUUGUACAUUCAUUCUGAGUUACGUAAAAUAGCCUUGGCCACGUGCGUCAAAAUGGCCACUCUUCAAAGUUGCAUUUUUUUUUCCCCUUGUAUCUGGAAAUUUAUAUUCAGGCAGCAGUUCGUGAGACGUAAACGUCGUGGUUCUUAUGUUAUACUUUACAGCAAUGCUGUCCUGUAAUGGCAGACAUAUUAUCGAGGGUGCUAAUGGCUUUAAUGUGUAGUGAGAUCAAUUUCCAGUUUUAAAAAUUGAGUUAAAAUGUCUUAUCGAGUUUCUUUCUUCCUUAUAAACAUCUACUUAAUUCCAACCACACUAACAUGUAGCAUGCACAACUAGGCCGGCCCGUCUCACAAGGUAGCAGCAUUACUCCAUCGACGGGGCGUAGCCUUCAAGAGGAAAUUUUAUCUUCCAAAUUGGGAAAGAAUCGAGUUCAAUUUGUGCUUCGUAUUGUCUCUUUCUAACGCAAGAC